UUCUCGAUAAGUCGACUUAUCAUAUUGACUGUUUGAGAUAUAGUAUUUUGGUAUGCGGGUGGCCUGUGAUAGAAGAAUACUAAUCUCUAGAAGAUACGAAACUGCAGGUUACAAUUAAGUCGAGUUGAAAUUCGCGAUAGUGACCUUUUGAAAUGACAGCUCUUCCAGUAAGGCACUCCAUUUGAAUCCAGGAGUCACUUUUGUUUCCAACUAGGCGACGAAGGUGAUAGAUGCGUUUAUUGAAGGCCGAGAAUCCUGAAUACAAUUUAAUCCUCCUCAGCAUUGGGCCUUACAAAUGCUGCUCGGGCGUGACUAUUUGGCGACUUGAAUGUUUUUU